rnacentral:rRNA from 1 species
UAGGGAAUCUUGCGCAAUGCGCGAAAGCGUGACGCAGCAACGCCGCGUGGGGGAAGAAUGCCUUCGGGUUGUAAACCCCUUUCAGUUGGGACGAAGCUCCGCCGGUGAACAGCCGGCUGGAGUGACGGUACCUUCACAAGAAGCACCGGCUAACUACGUGCCAGCAGCCGCGGUAAUACGUAGGGUGCAAGCGUUGUCCGGAAUCAUUGGGCGUAAAGAGCGUGUAGGCGGCUCGAUCAGUCCGCUGUAAAAGUCCAGGGCUCAACCCUGGGAUGCCGGUGGAAACUGUCGGGCUAGAGUCCGGGAGAGGCGAGUGGAAUUCCUGGUGUAGCGGUGAAAUGCGCAGAUAUCAGGAGGAACACCAAUGGCGAAGGCAGCUCGCUGGAACGGUACUGACGCUGAGACGCGAAAGCGUGGGGAGCAAACAG